rnacentral:tRNA from 1 species
UAGAAUAUAGUGUACGGGUAGCACGGAGAAUUUUGAGUUCUUUAGAUUAGGUUCAAAUCCUAUUUUUCUAG